rnacentral:lncRNA from 1 species
GCAACCUUCUCCGUAGUAGUGCUCGUCACACACAAACCGAUGCUCAGGUUGGUAAUGAUAACACCUAGACGCUAGGAACCGAGAGAGUGGUAUGGAUGCUGUCAAGCCAAGGACCCUUCUUCUCUGAACUCCAGGUGCAGAGUGAAGGUAAGAGGCCUGGGCUGAGUGGGUAAACUGUGUAUCAAUGGGGAGAAUGCAUAGUUUAGGGGCUUGGAGUCUUACCUGUUGCGAGGUCAUCGGGAGAGUCUGUAUGGAGGGCUUCAAUGAUCAGAGAGAAGGUACCCUAGGGAAAGGGGAGAAGAUGCUUGAUAACCGGAAGUGUGGAGGAGGAGGAAGGGGAGGAGGAGGAGUUGGGAGACUAGGAGUGGGAGGAGGAGGAGCUGGAGGAGGAGGAGAGGCAUUAAAGAGAACCAAGUACAGAGGCUCUCAGAUCUCUGUGUUGUGCCAAUGAAGGUCAACUCCUAUCACUUUCCUUAAUUAGAAGAAUUUUAAAGAGUGUCCCCCCCCACACACACACCGUGUGUGGGUUUGGUUUUUUAAAAACAUGUUAAUACAGGAAAUUGUAUUUUAAAAAGGGGGGAGAGUACUUGAUGGAGCAAGGUGGGGUGCAGGAAGAGGAGAGGGCAGCUGUCAUUUGUUUUCUGGGGGUGGAACCUCGAGGAUGGAGAGCAGCCCCAGCACUGGUAGCAACCCAACCAAGGCCUAAGAGCUAGGGGACAAGAACUCUCCCAACUUUGGGGGUAGGGGAGGGAAGCAUUCGACCUUUCAGGUAAGUAGGAGGUGUGUGAGAAAUGCCCAGGGCUUGCAAAAGCCUCUGGGGUUCCACACCCCCUCCUCAACUGCCAG